rnacentral:pre_miRNA from 10 species
GAAAUACUCCCUUCGUCCGAAAAUACUUGUCAUCAAAAUAAAUAUAAGAGGAUGUAUUUAGAUAUAUUUUAGUUCUAAAUACAUUCAAUUUUAUCCAUUUUGAUGACAAGUAUUUUCGGACGGAGGGAGUAUAUU